rnacentral:rRNA from 1 species
AAUGGGCGCAAGCCUGAUCCAGCCAUGCCGCGUGAGUGAUGAAGGCCUUAGGGUUGUAAAGCUCUUUUAGCAGGGACGAUAAUGACGGUACCUGCAGAAAAAGCCCCGGCCAACUUCGUGCCAGCAGCCGCGGUAAUACGAAGGGGGCUAGCGUUGCUCGGAAUCACUGGGCGUAAAGCGCACGUAGGUGGGUCGUUAAGUCGGGGGUGAAAUCCCAGAGCUCAACUCUGGAACUGCCUUCGAUACUGGCGACCUUCGAGUUCGGGAGAGGUGAGUGGAACUGCGAGUGUAGAGGUGAAAUUCGUAGAUAUUCGCAAGAACACCAGUGGCGAAGGCGGCUCACUGGCCCGAUACUGACACUGAGGUGCGAAAGCGUGGGGAGCAAA